AGGUGCCAGUGGCGGCGCCUCCGCACUACGGCCUCCAGUCUAUGCCUCCACCUCCAUGCUCCACUGCACGGAUCCGGAUCCGGCAACGACGACCUCCCUGCGGUCAGCGGUCUGCGACCUCCAUUGAUUCGCACCACAUCGUUCGCCCCUUCCUAGCAGUAUAAUGAAGGGUUGACCAUGUACACCUUCGAUCGGAAAUAAUACUCGAGCAGUGCAAGCAUGAAAACGAAGCUGAGAAGCUUCAGUUCCGUGUUUUGGACACGCAACGAAGGAUCAGUAAGAGGAAGCGAUAAGAUCUUAGAGGCUUGGACAACAUGUCUAAUGAUGGAAAAAACUUUUAUACCCUUAAAAUAUCUUGUAGUUUGUGUGCAUAGGACUGAGUGCAUGAUUGUAAUUUUUACAACACUAUAAAUAGAGAUACAAUGUCAUGCACAGGGGACACUUUGUAUAAGAUCUUCAAGGCUUCAUGAUUCUGUGAAUUCUGUGAUGUAUAUGUGAUGAUUAUGUGAUAUAUGUUCUGUUUGUUUGGAUGGAAUAACAAAAACAAAUAAAAUGGGUAUUC
rnacentral:lncRNA from 7 species